GCGGGUGCCGGAGGGAAUGCACUCAACGCUGUGGCCACUAGCCUAAACUUCACAUACACACUCACAAGAGCAAGUGACUAUGGUGUUCGUUUGUCGAAUGGUUCGUGGACUGGAAUGGUCGGAGCUGUACACAGAGGGGAAGCGGAUGCCGGCAUGUCUAUGAUGGCAUUAACCUACGAACGGCACAGCGUCGUG
rnacentral:lncRNA from 1 species